GUGCCAGCCGCCGCGGUAACACCGGCAGCUCUAGUGGUAGCCAUUUUUAUUGGGCCUAAAGCGUUCGUAGCCGGUUUGAUAAGUCUCUGGUGAAAUCCUAUAGCUUAACUGUGGGACUUGCUGGAGAUACUAUUAGACUUGAGGUCGGGAGAGGUUAGCGGUACUCCCAGGGUAGGGGUGAAAUCCUGUAAUCCUGGGAGGACCACCUGUGGCGAAGGCGGCUAACUGGAACGAACCUGACGGUGAGGGACGAAAGCCAGGGGCGCGAACCGGAUUAGAUACCCCUGUAGUCC
rnacentral:rRNA from 1 species